CGUCAUUCUUUCUUUCCAAGCGUUCUGUCUAUUGAGAUCUAUUGACAACAACAACUUAUGAAACGUCAGAUUAUAAUGAGAUAGUUCGGUGUUGACAAUAAAAAUGGUCUGUGUUCCCUGCCUCGUGAUUCCGUUUGUUCUGUGGUUCUUUCAUAAGUAUGUUCAGCCGCUCAUUGUUAAGUUUUGGCCAUGGAAAUCCCAGGCAACCGUUGAUUCGGGAACAAAUUCGGAUGGAGACACCAAAAAUGUAAAGGUGGAUCAGAAUGGGCAGACAGCCCAAAUGCAGAAUGGACUGUCCACAAAUUGCCAUGCUCAAACAGUGGGAGAUGGUGAUAAAAAGACAAACUGAUGGAAAUGAAUUGUGUAAAAGUGUAAAAAAUUUAAAGAAAUAAAUGCAGACACAGGUGUUCCAUGCCAUAGCACACAGUUUUGGACACAUCAAGAUAAUUCAGUAAUUAAGAUUGUUUCAGACAUCAUUUGUGGACAUUUUCAACAGCAUUUGUAUGCAUUAGUUUUAAAUCAGGUGCACAGGAGAUAUAUAUAUCUUAUGGAAUUUUAAAUGAACAUGAUGCUUGUGAACACAAAUUAAAGACAUAUUGACUGUUGAUAAGGUUUUUAUUUAUAAAAAAACGUUUAUUACAUUACAUUUAUCUUAGCCAUUAAAUAAUAUUGUACAUACAGUCACAUGUAUAGUUUGUGUUGUUAUGUCAAGAUUAAAAAAAUAAUUUAUUGAUGUUAUUUUAUUCUAAAUUUUGCAUCAAGUGGAGUAAUUUUUAUGUUGUAUUUGAUUUUAAGCUCACCUCUGUCGUAUUUUGUCUGUUGUCAACAUUUACCUUGUUAACAUAUAAGAUGUCACAUUUAUUGUCAAAUCUUCAUGAAAUUCAGAAGAUUUGUCCCAAUCAUAUAUUAGCUUAGGUCGAAAUGGUGUGGGUCUGUUGAAAAGCAUGGCAUCCAGGGUUCGAAGAAGUUUUCCAAAUAUGUUAAAAAUUCUUAUCACUUAUAUACAGUUGUUAUUAUGCCCCCCUUCGAAGAAGAGGGAGUAUAUUGCUUUGUUCAUGUCGGUCGGUCGGUCUGUCGGUCGGUCGGUCUGUCGGUCGGUCCGUCCACCAGGUGGUUGUCAGACGAUAACUAAAGAACACUUAGGCCUAGGAUCAUGAAACUUCAUAGGUACAUUGAUCAUGACUCACAGAUGACCCCUAUUGAUUUUGAGGUCACUAGGUCAAAGGUCAAGGUCACUGCGACCCGAAAUAGUAAAAUGGUUUCCGGAUGAUAAUUCAAGAACGCCUAUGCCUAGGAUCAUGAAACUUCAUAGGUAGAUUGAUCAUGACUAGCAGAUGACCCCUAUUGAUUUUCAGUUCACUAGGUCAAAGGUCAAGGUCACGGUGACCCGAAAUAGUAAAAUGUUUUCCGGAUGUUAAUUCAAGAACCCUUAUGCCUAGGAUCAUGAAACUUGAUAGGUAGAUUGAUCAUGACUAGCAGAUGCCCCCUAUUGAUUUUCAGGUCACUAGGUCAAAGGUCAAGGUCACGGUGACCCGAAAUAGUAAAAUGGUUUCCGGAUGAUAACUCAAGAACGCUUAUGCCUAGGAUCAUGAAACUUGAUAGGUACAUUGAUCAUGACUGGCAGAUGACCCCUAUUGAUUUUCAGGUCACUAGUUAAUAUUUUUGUUAAAUUAUGUCAAUCAGGGUAGUUUCAUGGAAAUCAACUCUACUGAAAUUUAAAAAAAAUUGUUUUGAGCUUGCUGUUGUAACAAUAGAAAAUUAAGCAAUAUAUUUCAAUUACAAUUUGAAAAGCUUGUUACUUAUCAUUGGAUGUGCUCACUAACAACAUCACUAUUCCUUAUAAAUUUGAUGCAAUGCCUUUCACACAUCACAUAAUUAAGAAAAUUUACUACAAAGAAAAAUAACAACUGAAUAAACGUAUCUUGUACAUUACAUUGUAUUGUAUAUUGUUCAAAUGUGUAACUGAACAUGUUUACAUUGAACAAAAAUAUGCUUAUGUAAAUCAACCAAUAAAUUGGGCUACCUGGCUCUGGUAAACAAUAAGUGCAAAAUACCUACAAUUUUUUCUAUGGAAACCAUAUGCAUGUAGGUGUACAACUUAAUGUCUGUAUAUAUAUAUUUUUUUAGCAAUUGUUCCAGUCAUUUGUUUUAUGUAAAAAUCAAUAAAAAUGUCCUUUUUAAUAAAAUUUGUCAAAAGGUC